AAAAGUAAUUAAAUAAGGGUAAACAUGGAAUAAAUUUAAAUUUACAAGAGUAUUAAAUGAAAAUAACUAUGUUAAAUGUGUUUCCUUGGUCUGUGUGAUUUUUUUAAAGUGUUCCUUAUAAAAAGGACCGGAGGGAGUAUAUAUUAAAUAAAUUUCAUUCAUCUCUACGAAUAUCCCACAUUUUUGUUGCACUUUCAUUAUAAGUAUUACUAUUUCUCUUUCUCGAGAGAAGACGAAGAUUGCUAUGAAUAAAAACUAGAUAGUUGAUACUUUGUUAUUGGGCAAAAUUACACUGCAGGUCCUUUAUCUUAUUUUUUUGUAACACUUUGGUCCUUUAUCUUUUUUUUGUAACAUUUUGGUCCUUUAUCUUUUAUUUGUAACACUUUGG
rnacentral:lncRNA from 1 species